UACGUAGGGGGCGAGCGUUGUCCGGAUUUAUUGGGCGUAAAGAGCGUGUAGGCGGUUCGGUAAGUCUGCCGUGAAAACCUGAGGCUCAACCUCGGGCGUGCGGUGGAUACUGCCGGGCUAGAGGACGGUAGAGGCGAGUGGAAUUCCCGGUGUAGCGGUGAAAUGCGUAGAUAUCAGGAGGAACACCAGUGGCGAAGGCGGCUCACUGGACUGGUAUUGACGCUGAGGUGCGAAAGCGUGGGGAGCAAACAGG
rnacentral:rRNA from 1 species